AGCGGCGAACGGGUGAGUAACACGUGGGUGAUCUGCCCUGCACUUCGGGAUAAGCCUGGGAAACUGGGUCUAAUACCGGAUAUGACUUCCUGUUGCAUGACGUGGGGUGGAAAGAUUUAUCGGUGCAGGAUGGGCCCGCGGCCUAUCAGCUUGUUGGUGGGGUAAUGGCCUACCAAGGCGACGACGGGUAGCCGACCUGAGAGGGUGACCGGCCACACUGGGACUGAGACACGGCCCAGACUCCUACGGGAGGCAGCAGUGGGGAAUAUUGCACAAUGGGCGAAAGCCUGAUGCAGCGACGCCGCGUGAGGGAUGACGGCCUUCGGGUUGUAAACCUCUUUCAGCAGGGACGAAGCGCAAGUGACGGUACCUGCAGAAGAAGCACCGGCUAACUACGUGCCAGCAGCCGCGGUAAUACGUAGGGUGCAAGCGUUGUCCGGAAUUACUGGGCGUAAAGAGUUCGUAGGCGGUUUGUCGCGUCGUUUGUGAAAACCAGCAGCUCAACUGCUGGCUUGCAGGCGAUACGGGCAGACUUGAGUACUGCAGGGGAGACUGGAAUUCCUGGUGUAGCGGUGAAAUGCGCAGAUAUCAGGAGGAACACCGGUGGCGAAGGCGGGUCUCUGGGCAGUAACUGACGCUGAGGAACGAAAGCGUGGGUAGCGAACAGGAUUAGAUACCCUGGUAGUCCACGCCGUAAACGGUGGGCGCUAGGUGUGGGUUCCUUCCACGGAAUCCGUGCCGU
rnacentral:rRNA from 1 species